GAUGAACGCUGGCGGCGUGCCUAAUACAUGCAAGUCGAGCGAACGGACGAGAAGCUUGCUUCUCUGAUGUUAGCGGCGGACGGGUGAGUAACACGUGGAUAACCUACCUAUAAGACUGGGAUAACUUCGGGAAACCGGAGCUAAUACCGGAUAAUAUUUUGAACCGCAUGGUUCAAAAGUGAAAGACGGUCUUGCUGUCACUUAUAGAUGGAUCCGCGCUGCAUUAGCUAGUUGGUAAGGUAACGGCUUACCAAGGCAACGAUGCAUAGCCGACCUGAGAGGGUGGAUCGCCCAACUGGGAACGAGGAACGGGCCAAGAUCCUACGGGAGGCAGCAGUAGGGAAUCUUCCGCAAUGGGCGAAAGCCUGACGGAGCAACGCCGCGUGAGUGAUGAAGGUCUUCGGAUCGUAAAACUCUGUUAUUAGGGAAGAACAUAUGUGUAAGUAACUGUGCACAUCUUGACGGUACCUAAUCAGAAAGCCACGGCUAACUACGUG
rnacentral:rRNA from 1 species